AGUAAUUUGUGCUCAUUCAAUGACAUAACACUGUGGAUUUUCAAUAUUUAUUGGAUGUUCAUAUAAUACCACAACUGGUCACCAUCAAGCAUAUUGAACUAAGAUAUGAUUCAAGGCUUUACCACUUAACGGCUUAACAACUUAAACCAUGAAUCAACACAAAAUAGACAAAAGUUGUGACAAGAUUUAGGGAUCCGCAGUGCCCUUUACACAGUACAUCAAAGACUCUCUUAAAGGUCCUGGCUUUCCAACAGUGACGUAACACAAGAAUGGUACCCAAGAAUAUGUACUGUAUAUGUGUAGACACUUUUUAAAACUCCAGAUAUCCUUGUGACAGAAAGGGGCAGGAAUGUGGUGAGUAGAGUGGCCUGUAAUUUCCCUAAACAAUUUUGCAUAACUGACAUCUGAGCUUGAACGUUUGGAUGGCCUAAGCCAAAGAACACUUUUGAAGUUGCAGGAGGAUACAUUUGAAUGGGUGGCUAAAGAGUUAGAUAAUAUCAACAAGACCACACUGCACUCAAUAGAAGCAUAAUGUUAUAAGAGAAGUGCUGACCUUGCGGGUGGUCUUCAGUUUGCCGGCUGUCGGGAUCCCGGCGCACAGUAUAUCAGCGCCGGCAUACCGACACUUUUUCUCCCUCUUGGGGGUCCACGACCCCCCUGGAGGGAGAAUAAAUAGCGCACCGUGCCCGCAGCGUGGCAAGCGCAGCAAGCCUGCAAGGGGCUCAUUUGCACUCGCCCAGCUGUCGGUAUGCCGGCGGUCGGGAUUCCGGUGUUGGUAUGCUGGUUGCCACCGGCAUACCCUACUACACCCGACUUUGCCAGAAGCAGAUCUGACUGGUGUUAUGGCAGUAAAGCAGGAUGACGCCUGGUACAUGGUGAUCAAGAGAAAAAUAGGCCAGGAAAUAAGACAAAAUCCACUAUACAGAAGUGAGACAGACCGGAGUGCAGGAGACAAGCCAGAGUUCAGUACUCAGUACUCAAGAAAAACAGAUUGGAAAACAAGCAAAGGGUCAGUACUGUAAUUAUAAUUCUGAUAGCACUGGCCAGGUUGCACAGAUAUCAGCUUCUGAUACUGAUACCCUGGAUUGUGACUGACACUGGAUCGUUAGGACUGAGGUGCAAUAGACUUAAGAUGUAUUUAUUUAUUUAUACCCCAUACUGUAUUCGGGGGAGACCACAGUCCGUUUUUUACUAUUAUUUAUAGAAUGUGUUACA